rnacentral:ncRNA from 1 species
GCGAUUUUAGCAGGUGGAAGAGGGUAGCAAUAACAGGUUCCGUGAUGCCCUUUAGAUGCUCUGGGCUGCACGCGUGCUACAAUGUUAGGAUCAAUAGGACUGCGAGCUUGAGAGGGUGCGCUACUCUUAUAAUCCCUAACGUAGUUGGGAUUGACGUUUGUAAUCAGCGUCAUGAACCAGGAAUCCCUUGUAAAUGUGUGUCAACAACGCACGUUGAAUACGUCCCUGCCCUUUGUACACACCGCCCGUCGCUCCUACCGAUUGGAUGACUCGGUGAAAUCACCGGAUGCUUACGAGCAGAAAGUGAUUAAAUCACGUUAUCUAGAGGAAGGAGAAGUCGUAACAAGGUAACGGUAGGUGAACCUGCCGUUGGAUCAGUU